UUGGACCAAAAUGUCCAAAUUUUAUGAUUGGAGUUGGAAUGACAGCCUUCCAUCCCAAGUUGUCUCAUAUAAGUCAUGAUUUGAUCACUUCUCACAAAUGGUUCUUGUAAGCAGAUGAAAGAUAAGUUGUAUUGAGCUUUGAUAGUUUUAAGCCUUUCGAAGGUACAUUGAGUGUUGACACUCCUUAUGUUCCAUGACAGAGCUUUAAUCAUUGGAAACAUUAAGGUUUGUACCUUUGCAUAUCCCUUUGUUAGAG
rnacentral:misc_RNA from 1 species